rnacentral:rRNA from 1 species
GGAGUACGGCCGCAAGGUUAAAACUCAAAUGAAUUGACGGGGGCCCGCACAAGCGGUGGAGCAUGUGGUUUAAUUCGAUGCAACGCGAAGAACCUUACCUGGUCUUGACAUCCACAGAACUUUCCAGAGAUGGAUUGGUGCCUUCGGGAACUGUGAGACAGGUGCUGCAUGGCUGUCGUCAGCUCGUGUUGUGAAAUGUUGGGUUAAGUCCCGCAACGAGCGCAACCCUUAUCCUUUGUUGCCAGCGGUCCGGCCGGGAACUCAAAGGAGACUGCCAGUGAUAAACUGGAGGAAGGUGGGGAUGACGUCAAGUCAUCAUGGCCCUUACGACCAGGGCUACACACGUGCUACAAUGGCGCAUACAAAGAGAAGCGACCUCGCGAGAGCAAGCGGACCUCAUAAAGUGCGUCGUAGUCCGGAUUGGAGUCUGCAACUCGACUCCAUGAAGUCGGAAUCGCUAGUAAUCGUGGAUCAGAAUGCCACGGUGAAUACGUUCCCGGGCCUUGUACACACCGCCCGUCACACCAUGGGAGUGGGUUGCAAAAGAAGUAGGUAGCUUAACCUUCGGGAGGGCGCUUACCACUUUGUGAUUCAUGACUGGGGUGAAGUCGUAACAAGGUAACCGUAGGGGAACCUGCGGUUGGAUCACCUCCUUACCUUAAAGAAGC